rnacentral:rRNA from 1 species
GUCUUGAAACACGGACCAAGGAGUCUAGCAUGUGCGCGAGUCAUUGGGAACAACUAAACCUAAAGGCGUAAUGAAAGUGAAGGUCCGCCCCGCGCGGACCGAGGGAAGAUGGGCGGAUGAGCCUCAAAAGAUGGCCCGCCCCGCACUCCCGGGGCGUCUCGUUCUCAUUGCGAGAAGAGGCGCACCAAGAGCGUACACGCUGGGACCCGAAAGAUGGUGAACUAUGCCUGGUCAGGACGAAGUCAGGGGAAACCCUGAUGGAGGUCCGUAGCGAUUCUGACGUGCAAAUCGAUCGUCGGAACUGGGUAUAGGGGCGAAAGACUAAUCGAACCAUCUAGUAGCUGGUUCCCUCCGAAGUUUCCCUCAGGAUAGCUGGCGCUCGUCGCAUACGAGUCUCAUCCGGUAAAGCGAAUGAUUAGAGGCAUUGGGGUCGAAACGGCCUCAACCUAUUCUCAAACUUUAAAUGGGUGAGAUCUCCGGCUUGCUCGAACUACUGAAGCCGCGAGACACGGAUCAGAGUGCCAAGUGGGCCAUUUUUGGUAAGCAGAACUGGCGCUGUGGGAUGAACCAAACGCCGAGUUAAAGCGCCUAAAUCGACGCUUAUGGGAUACCAUGAAAGGCGUUGGUAACUUAAGACAGCAGGACGGUGGCCAUGGAAGUCGGAAUCCGCUAAGGAGUGUGUA